rnacentral:rRNA from 1 species
UACGUAGGGGGCAAGCGUUAUCCGGAUUUACUGGGUGUAAAGGGAGCGUAGGCGGCAUGGCAAGUCUGGUGUGAAAGCCCGGGGGCCCAACCCCGGGACGUGCACUGGAAACUGGCGUGCUGGAGUGCCGGAGAGGCAGGCGGAAUUCCUAGUGUAGCGGUGAAAUGCGUAGAUAUUAGGAGGAACACCAGUGGCGAAGGCGGCCUGCUGGACGGUGACUGACGCUGAGGCUCGAAAGCGUGGGGAGCAAACAGGAUUAG